rnacentral:tRNA from 1 species
AGCCAAGUGGUGUAGUAGUUUGAGCAUUCCACUAUGACUCUGCAGACCAGGGUUCAAUCCCGGCUUGGCCG